GACCCGUCGAAACACGGACCAAGGAGUUAACAUGUGCGCGAGUCAAGGGGACUCUCUAAGCCCAAAGGCGCAAUGAAAGUGAAGGCGCGCGUCGCGGCUUCGGUCGCGCGCGCGCGCCGAGGGAAGAUGGCCGGGGGAGGGGGUCCCGCGGGGCCCCUUUUCUCCGCGAGCUCCGGCCCGCACUCCCGGGGCGUCGCCCGUCGCGGCGGCGCACCUAGAGCGUACACGUUGGUACCCGAAAGAUGGUGAACUAUGCCUGGCCAGGACGAAGCCAGGGGAAACCCUGGUGGAGGUCCGUAGCGAUUCUGACGUGCAAAUCGAUCGUCUGAGCUGGGUAUAGGGGCGAAAGACCAAUCGAACCAUCUAGUAGCUGGUUCCCUCCGAAGUUUCCCUCAGGAUAGCUGGCGCUCGGAGGCGAGAAAGAAUAUUUUUGUGAAAAAGACGGACGAAUCUCGUCCGGUAAAGCGAAUGAUUAGAGGCCUUAGGGCCGAAACGACCUUAACCUAUUCUCAAACUUUAAAUGGGCGAGAACCCCGGCAUGCUCGAGUGACUUGAAGCGGCGGUCCCGCUGCGCCCCCUCGGGGGCGCGCGAAGGCCGUCGUGAUGCCGGGGAUCGGAUCGAUGAGUGUCUAGUGGGCCACUUUUGGUAAGCAGAACUGGCGCUGUGGGAUGAACCAAACGCAGAGUUAAGGCGCCCAACUCGACGCUAAUGGGAUACCAUGAAGGGCGUUGUUUGCUUAGGACAGCAGGGCGGUGGCCAUGGAAGUCGGAAUCCGCUAAGGAGUGUGUAACAACUCACCUGCCGAAGCAACUAGCCCUGAAAAUGGAUGGCGCUGAAGCGUCGGGCCUAUACUCUGCCGCCGGCGGCAAGGUGAGGGCGCCCCGCACGUCCCGCGUCGGGGGCGCCGCGCUCCUUCGGGGGUGCGGCGCAGGAGCCCUGUUAGGCCCCGGCGAGUAGGAGGGUCGCGGCGGUGAGCGCAGAAGGGUCGGGCGCGAGCCCGCCUGGAGCCGCCGUCGGUGCAGAUCUUGGUAGUAGUAGCAAAUACUCUAGCGAGACCCUUGAGGGCUGAGGCGGAGAAGGGUUUCGUGUGAACAGCCGUUGCACACGAGUCAGUCGAUCCUAAGCCCUAGGAGAAAUCCGAUGCAGAUGCGGGCCGCCAGACUGACAUGCUUGUGUUGUUGGCCCCGAGGGGCGAAAGGGAAUCCGGUCCCUAUUCCGGAACCCGGUCGCGGAACCGUCUCACGUCGGGCCCCCGGCUUCGGCCGGUAGCUCGUCGGGGUAACCCAAAAAGACCCGGAGAAGCCGUCGGGAGGUCGGGGAAGAGUUGUCUUUUCUGUUUGAGCGUUCGGGUUCCCUGGAAUUGCCUAGCGCAGAGAGGGGAAU
rnacentral:rRNA from 1 species